rnacentral:snRNA from 1 species
GGAUGUGAGAGAGAUCUGGCUGCAACAUGUCACCCCAUUGAUUGCCAGGGUUGAUUUGGCUGAUCUGGCUGGCUAGGCAGGUGUCCCCUUACCUCCCUCAAUGACUCAUGUUUGUCCCUCUUGAAGCUACAUACUAAGGACAGGAGAGUAGAACAGUGCUGAUGUGAAGGUUCCCUUGAACUGCCUAGCUCUAGGGA